GACGAACGCUGGCGGCGUGCUUAACACAUGCAAGUCGAACGGAAAGGCCCUGCUUUUGUGGGGUGCUCGAGUGGCGAACGGGUGAGUAACACGUGAGUAACCUGCCCUUGACUUUGGGAUAACUUCAGGAAACUGGGGCUAAUACCGGAUAGGAGCUCCUGCUGCAUGGUGGGGGUUGGAAAGUUUCGGCGGUUGGGGAUGGACUCGCGGCUUAUCAGCUUGUUGGUGGGGUAGUGGCUUACCAAGGCUUUGACGGGUAGCCGGCCUGAGAGGGUGACCGGCGACAUGGGUACUACGGGAGGCACCAGAGUCCUAUGGGGGGCAAUGGGGGGAAGUAUUGCACAGUGGGAGGGAGCCUGAUAAGAAGACCCCGCGUGCGGGAUGACGGCCUUCGGGUUGUAAAACGCUUUCGCCCGUGACGAAGCGGGUGUGACGGUAAUGGGUAAAGAAGCACCGGCUAACUACGUG
rnacentral:rRNA from 1 species